AGCACAUAUGAAACGUGGAUUCUUUGUCAAUUUAUAUGAAUUUAUUAAAUGGAUUUUCGAUGUGAUCAAUGGAAAAAUCAAUGCGAUCGGAUAGAUUAUGGAAACUGGGUUAAAUUUCAAGUACUUGAAGAAAUCAACGCUAUAAUUUCAUAAAAACAUUAAUUUCUAUUUGAUAGCCAAUAUUCACAUCGAUUUAGUUUAAAAUAUAUCAUCUAACCACACAGAACUUACAGACAAAGAGAGAGUGAAGAUCAAGUGUGACCAUACGAAAAAGUAAAGGAUAACUGAAACUUAAUUCGGUCACUUUUGUUAUGCAUAUUAUGGCCACACUUACAACAAUUUCAAAUCAAGUUCAUGUAUACGUAUUCAGUGUUGGUAAAUAAAGAAUUCAACUACGUAGAAUUCUGCAAUAAAAA